CACCGUGGUAGUCGAUCAGUUGGCGGUACGCAGGCGGAUCAGAGCGGGACCCUUAAAAAUAAAAACACCUCACCGUGUGCUCGUGUCAGCUCCGGGGUAUCACUUUAACCUUAAAUUGGGGGGCGUAUAUCUAAUUUUUAAGUAUGAGUACAUUGAUAGUAUGUUUAAAGCGGUUUAUGCUAGCUAGGUUGAUGCGCGGUGGGGGUUUGCUUUCGGUUCUCCUUGGUGCAAACUAACGUUUAUCAUUUCGCGAUGGUCGUUAACGUUAGCUCUUGAUUAGCUAACACACCUUUUUGUAAUAUCACGUAAUCUCCGUUACAGUAACUCUCUUCGCUAUUAAACGUUAGCUGGUGAAAAAAAGAGGACCAAAAUAACAGAAAAUGCCUCACAAGAAGCAACAGCUGAGGCCGACAGCAGCCAACGUCUCCAGCUCCCUGGACCUGGAGUCGGAGGACAUCAGCCUAGAAACAACCGUGCCCACCACCGAGGAUAUCUCCUCGUCCGACGAGCAGCGGGACGGCUCCCAGAAGGUGACCCGCCAGCUGAUCGAGAGGAAGGAGCUGCUGCACAACGUCCAGCUCCUGAAAAUUGAGCUUUCUCAGAAGAACCUGACCAUAGACAACAUGAAGGCCGACAGCAUGUCCAAGGUUGAGGAGCUGGAGGAGAGAUUGAAUGAUGCUCUACAUCAGAAACAAGUUUUGGCCCUGAGGCUGGACAGCCAGCUGAAACUUACUCAAGAGGAGAACAGGAAGCAGCAGGUUCUGCGUAAGCAAGAGAUGGAGGCUAUCCUGCUCAGGCAGCAGCAGCUAGAGGAGACCAACCGGCAGCUGUGUGAGAAAGGUGGAGAGCUGCGGAGGUCUCUCAGGGAUCUGGACAUCUCUCAGGACAGGUACCAGGAGCUCCGCGACCUCCCUGAAGACAAAAUCUCCAUUCAGGAAUACGUAGCUAUGCGUUUCUACGAGGUGGUGACUCCUCUGCGGGCUCAGCUGGCUGAGCUCGGUGUGAAGAGAGACAGUUUGACUGAUGACCUGAAUACACACAGAACCCAAUUGAAGGCUCUGAUGGAGAGCUACGAGGAGGAGCGGCGGCUACGUACUGAGCUGGAGUUAAGGAGCCAGAGACUGACACUAGAACUGGCCGAUACCAAACAGCAAAUCCAAGAAGGAGAUUAUCGCCGGGAAAACUACCCUGCCAUCAAACGUGAGCGUGACAACUUUGAGGCAGAACUAAAGGACUUAAAGAGAAGAUUUGAGACGCUAGACUUGACUCACACAGCAGUGGCCAGAGAAAGAAACACACUCAGCAAAGAGGUGGCAGCAUUGCAGCAGUCAGUGACUCUCCUGCAGAAGGACAAGGAGUAUCUGCACAGGCAGAACAUGGAGCUCAGUGUCCGCUGUGCACACGGAGAAGACCGCCUGGAGAGGCUGCAGGUGCAAUUAGAAGACACUAAGAAGGCGAGGGAGGACGCCUAUGAAAAAUAUAUGGCAUCCAGAGACCGCUAUAAGUCUGAGUAUGAGACCAAGCUGAGAGAGGAGCUGGAGAACAUCAGACUGAAAACCAGUCAGGAGAUAGACAAUCUGCAGAGAACCUCCAGGGAGAUGUACGAGAGGGAGAACAGGAACUUGCGUGAGGCCAGAGACAACGCAGUGGUGGAGAAGGACAGAGCAUUGGCUUCUGACAGAGACACUCAGUCCAGAUAUGACCAAUUGCUGGAACAGUUCCGUCGGCUCCAGCUUGGUACUGACAGCCGGGUAUCAGAACUGUCCAAUCAGGCCAAGCUGCACUCCUUCGAAGCUGAGCGCGCUGAGAUGGUCAAGGAUGAGACGGCGAAGGCCCUGGCCCAGUGCCAGGUGGAGUGUGAGAAACAACAGAAGAAACUGGAGCUCCUGACCCAGGAGUUUUACAGACUGCAGACGUCAUCAGAGAAGCGGUUGGCGGAGCUGCAAGCCCAGAAUGCCGAGCAGGCAUCUCGGCUGGAGACGUACGAAAAGCUUGAGCAGGAGUUGGACCAAGUCACCAUGCAGGCGGCUGAGAUUGAGAAUGAAGAGGAGGCCGAGAGAGUGCUGUUCUCGUACGGCUACGGCGCCAAUGUUCCCACAACGGCUAAAAGAAGACUAAAACAGAGCGUUCACCUGGCCCGCAGGGUGCUGCAGCUCGAGAGGCAGAACACGUCUCUGAGGAGAGAGCUGGAGAGACACAAGUCACAGACGGGACAGAUAUCUGAAGAGCAUCACGCGACACUCUGCUGUGAACGUCCGUGCACAUCUAACCUAAGUCUUGAAGGCCGACGCUGCACAACAAGACAAAACAAGCUUGUGAGUUGUUGGCAGCCAACCAGCUGUUGCAGCAGACACAACAGCCCUAUAGCUACCUGAUUGACACGGUGAGACAGAAGGAUUCACAGAUCAUCGCGAUGAAGGAGCGUCUCGACUCGCUUGAGGACGACGUCAGUUCUCUGAGGAAAGAACGGACUGCACUGCAACAGGUGAAAAACAACAUGGCCGCAGAUCUGGAGAGACUCCUCAACCACCGAGAGGAGUUAGCGGUGAUGAAGCAGGUCCUGAUCAGCAUGCGGUCCGGACAGGGAGACGCUCUAAACCUGUUGGAAGCGGAUAAAACUGCUGUGAGCACCUCUGGCGCAGGAAAACACCAGUCCAAACAAAUCAACAGGACCACAGAAGAAGAGUCACCAAACAAACCCAAACCCACUGUGUUUACUAAUAAAGAAGUUCCUGAUUGGUACAAAAAGACAAAGCAGAAACCCAAAUGAACAUUAAUGUCUGUUACUAUUGGUGCUAUUGUCACUCAUGGCUUCAACAAUCGUAUUAUUAUUUUUCUUUUGAAAUACAAAAGCAGAAAUUAUUACUAGUGUCCGAGUGUUUUGUUGUUCUUAUCCUUGGUUACAUAUUGUUCUGAGAGGAUAAAUUCCCUGCGUACUGGUCCACAACCAGAAGGUAUUGCCUUCCACAGGGUACACAUUCCUAGCUAACUGACUGCCCAAACAUUCCUCUUUCUUGGCAGUGGUUUAUUUUAUUAGGUCUGUCUAUCAUUAUUUUCUCAUCUUUUCCAGGUUUGCAGCUACUGGUGGCUACAGACAAACAGCAUUGCAGGAACAUUAGCCGAGCGGAGGCUCCUUUGGCUUUAAAUAUAGACAUAGUAGGCAUACCGUUAUCAUUUCAGACAUGUUCUUAUCGGUGUCGUAUUAAACUCGGACCAGAGGACUGCUUUAAAGCAGUUUUAUGCCCUUUUGUAAGCCUACAAUCCUCCACAAUAUACCAC